rnacentral:misc_RNA from 1 species
CAACAACAGCAUCGCGGAGGAC